AGUGAACGCUGGCGGUAGGCCUAACACAUGCAAGUCGAACGGCAGCACAGUAAGAGCUUGCUCUUACGGGUGGCGAGUGGCGGACGGGUGAGGAAUACAUCGGAAUCUACUUUUUCGUGGGGGAUAACGUAGGGAAACUUACGCUAAUACCGCAUACGACCUACGGGUGAAAGCAGGUGAUCUUCGGACCUUGCGCGAUUGAAUGAGCCGAUGUCGGAUUAGCUAGUUGGCGGGGUAAAGGCCCACCAAGGCGACGAUCCGUAGCUGGUCUGAGAGGAUGAUCAGCCACACUGGAACUGAGACACGGUCCAGACUCCUACGGGAGGCAGCAGUGGGGAAUAUUGGACCAUGGGCGCAAGCCUGAUCCAGCCAUACCGCGUGGGUGAAGAAGGCCUUCGGGUUGUAAAGCCCUUUUGUUGGGAAAGAAAAGCAGCAGGUUAAUACCCCGCUGUUCUGACGGUACCCAAAGAAUAAGCACCGGCUAACUUCGUG
rnacentral:rRNA from 1 species